rnacentral:rRNA from 1 species
UACGUAGGUGGCAAGUGUUGUCCGGAAUUAUUGGGCGUAAAGCGCGCGCAGGCGGCCUCUUAAGUCUGAUGUGAAAGCCCACGGCUCAACCGUGGAGGGUCAUUGGAAACUGGGGGGCUUGAGUGCAGAAGAGGAGAGCGGAAUUCCACGUGUAGCGGUGAAAUGCGUAGAGAUGUGGAGGAACACCAGUGGCGAAGGCGGCUCUCUGGUCUGUAACUGACGCUGAGGCGCGAAAGCGUGGGGAGCGAACAGG